GACGAACGCUGGCGGCGUGCCUAAUACAUGCAAGUAGAACGCUGAAGGAGGAGCUUGCUUCUCUGGAUGAGUUGCGAACGGGUGAGUAACGCGUAGGUAACCUGCCUGGUAGCGGGGGAUAACUAUUGGAAACGAUAGCUAAUACCGCAUAAGAGUAGAUGUUGCAUGACAUUUGCUUAAAAGGUGCAAUUGCAUCACUACCAGAUGGACCUGCGUUGUAUUAGCUAGUUGGUGGGGUAACGGCUCACCAAGGCGACGAUACAUAGCCGACCUGAGAGGGUGAUCGGCCACACUGGGACUGAGACACGGCCCAGACUCCUACGGGAGGCGGCAGUAGGGAAUCUUCGGCAAUGGACGGAAGUCUGACCGAGCAACGCCGCGUGAGUGAAGAAGGUUUUCGGAUCGUAAAGCUCUGUUGUAAGAGAAGAACGAGUGUGAGAGUGGAAAGUUCACACUGGACGGUAUCUACCA
rnacentral:rRNA from 1 species